rnacentral:sRNA from 1 species
UUCUAGCCCCGAUAGAAGUGGCAUCCCACGAGUUCGCGAAAGCGGUGAGUGGAUAUAACGGAUAGCGGGACCGGAU